GUCAUGUGCUAAUAAGGAUUGAUAUGUGUUAGAAGUGAGCAAGUGCGAUAGUUUUAGUUUGUAUAAAGAAGACAGAAUAAAUAUAGACUGCAAACGAUGUCUGAAGUGCAAACUCUUUGGGUGUCUUUUUGCAAAAGGCUGCCACUUUUAAUGGAAUUCAUUACUGUACAGUGAAGUUGAUGUUAUGGAUUCAAGUGUGUGAGAAUGUCUCAUAUGGAAUGGGACCCACAAGUAUUUUUCACAAGGAAUGGGUCUCACAAGUUGGUAUUGCAUCAUGACCAUUGAUGGCGUAUUAGUGAGCUUAGUUAUGUAUCAUAAGUCACGCGGUUGUUAGAUUCUGUAUUGGAAUUUCCACUCUCUAUUAUCCUAAAUAAAAAGUUGAGGAAUUUUCUAUUUUUAGUUUAAAAGGGGCAUGCAUUCCUUUGAUCAUUGUAAUUAAUCUUUAAAUCCAUGGAAAGAACAAUUUCUUUAUCCAUGGAAAGCUG
rnacentral:misc_RNA from 1 species